rnacentral:lncRNA from 1 species
AGGUGGCCACUGAAGUCAACUAGUUUUGAUGCCUGUUGGACAUACGAAGUUGGCAUGAUUGGUGCACUCAGGCAUUUUAGGUAUCUGAGUUACCUAAGAUGAAUACAAUUCUGGAAUUGUCCAUCUCCAGGAACUUUAAAGAGAGACAACUUGUUUACUCCACGCCUUUUCCUUAGGCAAUAACAUAGUUUUAGCGUGACCCCAGCCCUGCUAAAUCAACAACAGUUCUAGCAAACCAUUUAAUUUACUCAGACAGUUAGCACGUAUAUUUGUUCUCAUGCCAGGAUUAAAUUGCUAUAAUAUCAAUCCAUAGAACAAGCAUCUCUAGUACUUGCUUCUAGAAGCCUCUUGUUUUAAUCUAUUCACUUAUUGAUUGGUGGAUGUUCACAAGGGGCCUCUGAAGUCAAUGAAAAUUCAAAUCAGCAGGCUUGCAUCAAGUCUUGCAUAGCUGUGCCUUAAGCUGUCCCCAUGCAAUAAAACUUCAGUUAUACAUAUCGUCUCAUUUCUACCACAUCAUUAUUCCAGUGCUAUUGAAAUGCAAAAGAUAUUAUUUAGCUGGUCAAAAAGCUGCUUAUAUCUAUUCUUGCUUCUAGGAGCCUCCCGUGUAAGGAUUGAUUCCAGUAGAAGACUUAAGGCAUUUACUUCUCAUUCUUUCUUUAUUCAACCGUUAAUGAAGGAGGCUCUUCAGCCAGAACCUCAUACAGCUUCUCUUCCUGGAGGGAAAACAGAAGAGGAUGCGUGGACACCAGGUGUGUAAAAAGACAGUAGAAUGGUGAUUUUCACUGAACACAAGCUAUCUUUUAAAAAGAUAGCUGAAUUUUCUCAUUAUGUAGCUCUGGUCCCUAAUGCAUUGCAAGGAUAACAAGGGCCUAAAAUAACAAAGAAAGAACUGUGAAAUCAGAGCACCAAAUUUUGUACUGCUAGAGAACCCUGUUAAUCUGACCCGAUGUAAGGUGUUAUUAACUGUUUGGGAAGCCAGCUCAGAAGAUGAAGAUCAGGAAGAAUUUCAUCAUUUAAAGCUGUAACAGGAGGCUGCCUAACUGCAGCAUUUUGAACAACCUCUAAUUUCAUAAUUAAAGUUUAAGGGCAGCCAAAAUAAAGAGAAUUACAUCAAUCA